CAGGAAAACACUGGGUGCAGAAGGUUCAGGCCUUCGCUGCGUCUUGCCCUGGAGACCGCAACAUCAUAUUGACAUUGAAAUCUGAAGUUGGGUAGUGCCUUUUCUUAGGGGCCUGGCAGCGCCACGGGGACAAGGGUUCCUUACCCUUUCUGGACCUCGGUUUCCUCAUCUGUGAAAGGAAUAGUGUGAGCGCCUUCAGCAAAUUACAGAGAAGUGAGGGGGCAGGGGGCAGCGCGGACCCUGCACAGACGGAGCCUGGGCCAAGCCGAGGGAAGAUCGGAAAGAUCGGCUGAUGUGAGCCAGGCCUCCACACACAUCACUUCCAGGAGUGAGGCCAGGGUACAGCCAAGGUGAUGACGGAUGUGCCUCCUCCGUCCCUGGGUCAGCUUCAGGUGAAGUCACCCGUUCCCUCUGCACUCUGUCAGGACCUGUU
rnacentral:lncRNA from 1 species